CCCGCUGAACUUAAGCAUAUCAAUAAGCGGAGGAAAAGAAACUAACAAGGAUUCCCCUAGUAACUGCGAGUGAAGCGGGAAAAGCUCAAAUUUAAAAUCUGGCGGUUCUUGUAGCCGUCCGAGUUGUAAUUUAGAGAAGCGUUAUCCGCGCUGGACCGUGUACAAGUCUCCUGGAAUGGAGCGUCAUAGAGGGUGAGAAUCCCGUCUUUGACACGGACUGCCAGGGCAUUGUGAUGCGCUCUCAAAGAGUCGAGUUGUUUGGGAAUGCAGCUCAAAAUGGGUGGUAAAUUCCAUCUAAAGCUAAAUAUUGAGGAGAGACCGAUAGCGAAUAAGUACCGUGAGGGAAAGAUGAAAAGAACUUUGGAAAGAGAGUUAAACAGUACGUGAAAUUGCUGAAAGGGAAACGCUUGAAGUCAGUCGCGUCGUUCAGGACUCAGCCUUGCUUUGCUUGGUGUACUUCCUGUUCGACGGGUCAGCAUCAAUUUUGGUCGGUGGAUAAAGGCUUAGAGAAUGUGGCAUCUUCGGGUGUGUUAUAGCUCUGGGUCGCAUACAUCGGCUGGGAUUGAGGAACUCAGCACGCCGCAAGGCCGGGUACUUGUACCACGUACGUGCUUAGGAUGCUGGCAUAAUGGCUUUAAUCGACCCGUCUUGAAACACGG
rnacentral:rRNA from 1 species